AGUCGUAACAAGGUAACCGUAGGUGAACCUGCGGUUGGAUCAUUACUGAUUUAGAGUCGAGCCUGUCCCUCUCGGGGUUGACGGGCAAGACUACUGACCCCUUGUGCAACCAAAUUGUUUUUUGGGUGGAGAUUCAUCGAGUCUGCACCCAGCAGUUACAAACCACUGUAUAAUUUGUCUGAAACUAAGAGAAAAAUCGAAACAACUUUUGACAACGGAUCUCUUGGCUCUC
rnacentral:misc_RNA from 1 species